rnacentral:rRNA from 1 species
AUUGAACGCUGGCGGCAUGCUUUACACAUGCAAGUCGAACGGUAACAGGCCGCAAGGUGCUGACGAGUGGCGAACGGGUGAGUAAUGCAUCGGAACGUGCCCAGUCGUGGGGGAUAACUACUCGAAAGAGUAGCUAAUACCGCAUACGAUCUAUGGAUGAAAGCGGGGGACCGUAAGGCCUCGCGCGAUUGGAGCGGCCGAUGUCAGAUUAGGUAGUUGGUGGGGUAAAGGCUCACCGAGCCAACGAUCUGUAGCUGGUCUGAGAGGACGACCAGCCACACUGGGACUGAGACACGGCCCAGACUCCUACGGGAGGCAGCAGUGGGGAAUUUUGGACAGUGGGCGCAAGCCUGAUCCAGCAAUGCCGCGUGCAGGAAGAAGGCCUUCGGGUUGUAAACUGCUUUUGUACGGAACGAAACGGCUCUGGUUAAUACCCGGGGCUAAUGACGGUACCGUAAGAAUAAGCACCGGCUAACUACGUG